rnacentral:lncRNA from 1 species
CCCCCAUCUUACAAGGCACUGCCACCAAAGUAGAACCAUAACUGAGGCUUCAGAAGAUCAUUCUACAGCUCAACUGAACCAGCCUUUUCAGGAUGAUGGGGAACGUAAUAGGACCAGUGAAAUCCAUGAGCACGUGCCCUGAGAAGUAACUUAUUUGUUUAUAAGUGAUGCUGUGUGGAAUCCAUGAUGUUGAAUAAUGUCAUCAAUCAAACGAAUAGUGUCAUGGCUGGUGUAAGGGAAAGAUGAGUAAAGUCUGCAAGGACUGGAAUACGACGUAAGCCCGGAGAGUUGAUGUAAGUCUGAAGUGGGAAGUCGACGUGCGUUGCUGCCCUUUCCAGCUUAAGGACAAAUAUGUAUGUUGAAAGGAAUGUCAUAAAAUCACCACCCUGCAUCUUUCAAAUUCUUGAUGGCGCCGCAAUUAUUCC